UACGUAGGGGGCGAGCGUUGUCCGGAGUUACUGGGCGUAAAGCGCACGCAGGCGGUCUGCUAAGUUUGGAGUGACAGUUGGUGGCUUAACUGCCAAAGUGCUUCGAAAACUGACAGACUUGAGGGCUUCAGAGGGACACGGAAUUCCGGGUGGAGUGGUGAAAUUCGUAGAUAUUCGGAGGAACACCAGUGGCGAAGGCGGCUCACUGGUCCGGUACUGACGCUGAGGUGCGAAAGCGUGGGGAGCAAACAGG
rnacentral:rRNA from 1 species